UUGUCCUACGGGGGGCAGCAGUAGGGAAUCUUCCACAAUGGACGAAAGUCUGAUGGAGCAACGCCGCGUGAGUGAAGAAGGGUUUCGGCUCGUAAAGCUCUGUUGGUAGUGAAGAAAGAUAGAGGUAGUAACUGGCCUUUAUUUGACGGUAAUUACUUAGAAAGUCACGGCUAACUACGUGCCAGCAGCCGCGGUAAUACGUAGGGGGCAAGCGUUGUUCGGAAUAACUGGGCGUAAAGGAUGCGUAGGCGGUUAAACAAAUUUUAUGUUAAA
rnacentral:rRNA from 1 species